rnacentral:piRNA from 1 species
UAUAAGGUGUUGGAUUAUUGUAUU